rnacentral:rRNA from 1 species
UGGGGAAUAUUGGACAAUGGGCGCAAGCCUGAUCCAGCAAUGCCGCGUGAGUGAUGAAGGCCUUAGGGUUGUAAAGCUCUUUCGCACGCGACGAUGAUGACGGUAGCGUGAGAAGAAGCCCCGGCUAACUUCGUGCCAGCAGCCGCGGUAAUACGAAGGGGGCUAGCGUUGUUCGGAAUUACUGGGCGUAAAGGGCGCGUAGGCGGCCUGUUUAGUCAGAAGUGAAAGCCCCGGGCUCAACCUGGGAAUAGCUUUUGAUACUGGCAGGCUUGAGUUCCGGAGAGGAUGGUGGAAUUCCCAGUGUAGAGGUGAAAUUCGUAGAUAUUGGGAAGAACACCGGUGGCGAAGGCGGCCAUCUGGACGGACACUGACGCUGAGGCGCGAAAGCGUGGGGAGCAAACAGGAUUAGAUACUCUGGUAGUCCACGCCGUAAACGAUGAAUGCUAGACGUCGGGGUGCAUGCACUUCGGUGUCGCCGCUAACGCAUUAAGCAUUCCGCCUGGGGAGUACGGCCGCAAGGUUAAAACUC